rnacentral:rRNA from 1 species
UCCUGGCUCAGGAUGAACGCUGGCGGCGUGCUUAACACAUGCAAGUCGAACGAAGCCAAAAGGAAGCUUGCUUCUUGAAGCUUAGUGGCGGACGGGUGAGUAACGCGUGAGUAACCUGCCCUUCAGUGGGGAAUAACACAGAGAAAUCUGUGCUAAUACCGCAUAACGUCUUCUUGCCGCAUGACAGGAAGACCAAAGGAUUUAUUCGCUGAAGGAUGGACUCGCGUCCGAUUAGCUAGUUGGUGAGGUAACGGCCCACCAAGGCGACGAUCGGUAGCCGAACUGAGAGGUUGAUCGGCCACAUUGGGACUGAGACACGGCCCAGACUCCUACGGGAGGCAGCAGUGGGGAAUGUUGGGCAAUGGGCGAAAGCCCUGACCCAGCAACGCCGCGUGAAGGAAGACGGUCUUCGGAUUGUAAACUUCUUUGAUUGGGGAAGAAACAAAUGACCUACCCAAAGAACAAGUCACGGCUAACUACGUGCCAGCCGCUGC